rnacentral:rRNA from 1 species
CCUACGGGUGGCAGCAGUGGGGAAUAUUGCGCAAUGGGCGAAAGCCUGACGCAGCGACGCCGCGUGAGGGAUGAAGGUCUUCGGAUCGUAAACCUCUGUCAGCAGGGAAGAACGGUCACGGUGCUAAGCAGUAGUGAAUUGACGGUACAGGCAAAGGAAGCACCGGCUAACUCCGUGCCAGCAGCCGCGGUAAUACGGAGGGUGCGAGCGUUAAUCGGAAUUACUGGGCGUAAAGCGCUCGUAGGCGGUAUGUCAAGUCAAGGGUGAAAUCCCCGCGCUCAACGUGGGAACUGCCUUUGAAACUGGCAACCUGGCGUGUGUGCGCGGCUAGUGGCAUUCCCGGUGU